CAUGCAAGUCGAGCGGUAGCACAGAGAGCUUGCUCUCGGGUGACGAGCGGCGGACGGGUGAGUAAUGUCUGGGAAACUGCCUGAUGGAGGGGGAUAACUACUGGAAACGGUAGCUAAUACCGCAUAACGUCGCAAGACCAAAGUGGGGGACCUUCGGGCCUCAUGCCAUCAGAUGUGCCCAGAUGGGAUUAGCUAGUAGGUGGGGUAACGGCUCACCUAGGCGACGAUCCCUAGCUGGUCUGAGAGGAUGACCAGCCACACUGGAACUGAGACACGGUCCAGACUCCUACGGGAGGCAGCAGUGGGGAAUAUUGCACAAUGGGCGCAAGCCUGAUGCAGCCAUGCCGCGUGUGUGAAGAAGGCCUUCGGGUUGUAAAGCACUUUCAGCGGGGAGGAAGGCGUUAAGGUUAAUAACCUUGUCGAUUGACGUUACCCGCAGAAGAAGCACCGGCUAACUCCGUGCCAGCAGCCGCGGUAAUACGGAGGGUGCAAGCGUUAAUCGGAAUUACUGGGCGUAAAGCGCACGCAGGCGGUCUGUCAAGUCGGAUGUGAAAUCCCCGGGCUCAACCUGGGAACUGCAUUCGAAACUGGCAGGCUAGAGUCUUGUAGAGGGGGGUAGAAUUCCAGGUGUAGCGGUGAAAUGCGUAGAGAUCUGGAGGAAUACCCGGUGGCGAAGGCGGCCCCCUGGACAAAGACUGACGCUCAGGUGCGAAAGCGUGGGGAGCAAACAGGAUUAGAUACCCUGGUAGUCCACGCCGUAAACGAUGUCGAUUUGGAGGUUGUGCCCUUGAGGCGUGGCUUCCGGAGCUAACGCGUUAAAUCGACCGCCUGGGGAGUACGGCCGCAAGGUUAAAACUCAAAUGAAUUGACGGGGGCCCGCACAAGCGGUGGAGCAUGUGGUUUAAUUCGAUGCAACGCGAAGAACCUUACCUGGUCUUGACAUCCACAGAACUUUCCAGAGAUGGAUUGGUGCCUUCGGGAACUGUGAGACAGGUGCUGCAUGGCUGUCGUCAGCUCGUGUUGUGAAAUGUUGGGUUAAGUCCCGCAACGAGCGCAACCCUUAUCCUUUGUUGCCAGCGGUUAGGCCGGGAACUCAAAGGAGACUGCCAGUGAUAAACUGGAGGAAGGUGGGGAUGACGUCAAGUCAUCAUGGCCCUUACGACCAGGGCUACACACGUGCUACAAUGGCAUAUACAAAGAGAAGCGACCUCGCGAGAGCAAGCGGACCUCAUAAAGUAUGUCGUAGUCCGGAUUGGAGUCUGCAACUCGACUCCAUGAAGUCGGAAUCGCUAGUAAUCGUAGAUCAGAAUGCUACGGUGAAUACGUUCCCGGGCCUUGUACACACCGCCCGUCACACCAUGGGAGUGGGUUGCAAAAGAAGUAGGUAGCUUAACCUUCGGGAGGGCGCUUACCAC
rnacentral:rRNA from 1 species